rnacentral:rRNA from 1 species
UACGGAGGGAGCUAGCGUUGUUCGGAAUUACUGGGCGUAAAGCGCACGUAGGCGGCUUUUUAAGUCAGGGGUGAAAUCCCGGGGCUCAACCCCCGGAACUGCCCUUGAAACUGGAGAGCUAGAAUCUUGGAGAGGCGAGUGGAAUUCCGAGUGUAGAGGUGAAAUUCGUAGAUAUUCGGAAGAACACCAGUGGCGAAGGCGACUCGCUGGACAAGUAUUGACGCUGAGGUGCGAAAGCGUGGGGAGCAAACAGGGAUUAA